rnacentral:rRNA from 1 species
UGCAGUCGAGCGGAGAAGGGAGCUUGCUCCUGGAUUCUCGGCGGACGGGUGAGUAAUGCCUAGGAAUCUGCCUGGUACUGGGGGAUAACGACCGGAAACGGGCGCUAAUACCGCAUACGUCCUGAGGGAGAAAGUGGGGGAUCUUCGGACCUCACGCUAUCGGAUGAGCCUAGGUCGGAUUAGCUAGUUGGUGGGGUAACGGCCUACCAAGGCGACGAUCCGUAACUGGUCUGAGAGGAUGAUCAGGCACACUGGAACUGAAACACGGACCAGACUCCUACGGGAGGCAGAAGUGGGGAAUAUUGGACAAUGGGCGAAAGCCUGAUCCAGCCAUGCCGCGUGUGUGAAGAAGGUCUUCGGAUUGUAAAGCACUUUAACUUGGGAGGAAGGGCAGUAAGUUAAUACCUUGCUGUUUUGACGUUACCAACAGAAUAAGAACCGGCUAACUUCGUGCCAGCAGCCGCGGUAAUACGAAGGGUGCAAGCGUUAAUCGGAAUUACUGGGCGUAAAGCGCGCGUAGGUGGUUCAGCAAGUUGGAUGUGAAAUCCCCGGCCUCAACCUGGGAACUGCAUCCAAUACUACUGAGCUAGAGUACGAGUAGAGGGUGGUGGAAUUUCCUGUGUAGCGGUGAAAUGCGUAGAUAUAGAGAAGGAACACCAGUACGCGGAAGGCGACCACGCUGCCCCUGAUACUGACACUGA